rnacentral:lncRNA from 1 species
CAAUGUUCUCUUCACGAUCUUCUUCAGCAGAAAUUGAGACAGACUCGCCUUCUUCUUCCACGUUUUCUGUCACAUCAAGUGUUUGCUGAGGUAGGUUAUCAGUUUCCUUGUCCUCUUCAUCCUGGCAUAAAGUCAUAGCAGCAAAAUGAGGCAAUUCAACCAUUUAGACAUAGCACAAGACACUAGGGCUUGUUCCCGUUUGCUUUAGAUUGUGCAAAAGCUGAUUAUGAAAAGUCAUCAUAGAGAAUGAUCAGAAUCACUGAGAACUACUCUUUACUAGGUUUUGGAUUUUGCCUUUUUUGGCUAAUAAAAAUCUACAAUUAAAAGACAAAAGCAAAUGAGAAAUUUAGAAAAAAAAAACGCAUCAUCCAUAACCAGCUAAAAUAAUCUAACAAGAACAAGCCCUUAAAAGCUCGAAAGGCAACAACCAUAGUAACCAUGAAGCAGGUGAAGCAUUUCUUUAAAGUUCAAGUCCCUCAGCUGAUAUCACUACUUACAGCUGAAGCAUUUCUUAAAUGUUGGAAAACAAGAAGCAGCAGCACCAUGGCAAUAACAAGAUCAGGACAAGUGAUAGUGACUGAUAGUGAAAGCCUACCUCUAAUUGUAUAGAACUUUCAGCUUUUAUAACUUGAUUAGCCUUUUGAUCCUCCAGGAAGGACUGGGAAACCUCUCUUUUCUCAUCCUCGCCAUACAACAACUGGCACAAAAACAAAGCAGAGAAUAAAUAUACGAGAAGCAUUCUUCCAAAAGGAUCCCAUAAAUGUUCAAACAGGCGUAACUUUGCGACAGCUUCUACAACCCAAUUUCCAUCUACAACAAAAGGAG